AUGCAUUUGGUUAAUGUGACGCCGCCACAUUAUGUCUGGGCUCACUUGAACCUGGUAAGUUCUGGGUCCCGUUUGUGUGUCUCGCACCAUCACUUCCUGUCCUGUUUGGAGAUGGCGCUCCCGGCCACCGGAGAGCAUCUUGCUUGUUUGUUCAACACUUCAUUACGCCUGUUUGGCUUUAUGAUGUCCAGCUGUGUGCGGAGAGGCCUCCCGAACAUCAGUGCGGCUGGGCUUUCAUUUGUCGUGGCAUGUGGGGUGUUUCGGUAGGAGGCCAGGAACUUGGCCAGUUUUGUUUGCAAAGUCCCUUCGUCUCGUUUUGCUGCCCGGAGUCCUUGCUAUAGGGUUUGCCCAAAGCGUUCUGCCAACCCAUUGGUGGCAGUGUGGUACGGAGCUGAGGUUGAGUGUUUGAUUCCAUUUACUGACAUGAAUCUUGUAAACUCGUCACUUACAAAAGCUUGCACGUUUUCACUUACCAGCUGCAGUGGCAAACCGAAGCGUGCAAACUUGUUCUGAGACACUCUAUCGUCUGAGCCGAGGUGGAGGAGUCAGUGCAAAACACAUCUGGCCAUUUGGAAUGGGCAUCAACUAUAACCAGAAACAUGUGCUUUUCAAAGGCACCAGCGUAGUCCACAUGAAUUCUCUGCCAUGGCUCUGCGGGCCAUUCCCAUGGGUGGACUGGGACAGGGGCAGGCAUGUGAAGGGUUUCCAAACAUCCGUUACAGUUCUUCGCCAUGUUUUCUAUCUGUUGAUCCAGACCUGGCCACCAGAAGUGGCUCCUUGCGAGCAGCUUCAUUUUGACAAUUCCAACAUGACCUUCAUUUAAUUGCUGCAAAACUAGAUGUUGGCAUUUCUGGGGUAUCAUGACUCUCAUUACCCACAUCAAACAUCCUUGGUACGUGGGAAUUUUGUUUCUCCGCUGGAAAUACGGAGUCAGCUCCUUUCUGCCAGUAGCUGGCCAUCCUGACAUGGUGUAGGUGUACACUUUUGACAAGGUCACAUCUUUCCUUGUCUCCUGUUUGAUAACUGUGCUUGUGACUGGUAGGGCCUCGAGCUGAGCGGUAUGGAACAUGUCCACUGCAUCCACCCUCCUUUGUCUUUCUCUUGUACACGGCAGUCUGGAAAAUCCAUCUGCAUUUGUGUGGAGGGAUGACGGCUUAAACUCAAUGUCAUACAUAUGACUGGCAAGGAACAGGGCAUAUCGCUGUAACAUGGCUGCUGUCAUUGCCGGAAUG
rnacentral:lncRNA from 13 species